rnacentral:rRNA from 1 species
UGAGAGCCUGAUCCAGCCAUGCCGCGUGCAGGAAGAAGGCGUUAUGCGUUGUAAACUGCUGGCUAACUACGUGCCAGCAGCCGCGGUAAUACGUAGGUGGCAAGCGUUGUCCGGAUUUAUUGGGUUUAAAGGGGUGCGUAGGCGGCCCUGUAAGUCAGUGGUGAAAUAUCUCACCUUAACUGAGAGGGUGCCAUUGAUACUGCGGGGCUUGAGUACAGAUGAGGUAGGCGGAAUUGACGGUGUAGCGGUGAAAUGCAUAGAUAUCGUCAAGGACACCGAUAGCGAAGGCAGCUUACCAAGCUGUAACUGACGCUGAGGCACGAAAGUGUGGGGAUCAAACAGGAUUAGAUACCCUGGUAGUCCACACUGUAAACGUUGAUGACUCGAUGUUGGCGAUACACAGCCAGCGUCCAAGAGCAAUCGUUAAGUCAUCCACCUGGGGAGUACGCCGGCAACGGUGAAACUCAAAGGAAUUGACGG